rnacentral:rRNA from 1 species
GACGAACGCUGGCGGCGUGCCUAAUACAUGCAAGUAGAACGCUGAAGGAGGAGCUUGCUUCUCUGGAUGAGUUGCGAACGGGUGAGUAACGCGUAGGUAACCUGCCUGGUAGCGGGGGAUAACUAUUGGAAACGAUAGCUAAUACCGCAUAAUAGUAGAUGUUGCAUGACAUUUGCUUAAAAGGUGCAAUUGCAUCACUACCAGAUGGACCUGCGUUGUAUUAGCUAGUUGGUGGGGUAACGGCUCACCAAGGCGACGAUACAUAGCCGACCUGAGAGGGUGAUCGGCCACACUGGGACUGAGACACGGCCCAGACUCCUACGGGAGGCAGCAGUAGGGAAUCUUCGGCAAUGGACGGAAGUCUGACCGAGCAACGCCGCGUGAGUGAAGAAGGUCUUCGGAUCGUAAAGCUCUGUUGUAAGAGAAGAACGAGUGUGAGAGUGGAAAGUUCACACUGUGACGGUAUCUUACCAGAAAGGGACGGCUAACUACGUG